AACGCACCUUGCGCUCCUUGGUAUUCCGAGGAGCAUGCCUGUUUGAGUGUCAUUAAAUCCUCAACCCCGUCCGUCGGUCGGGGCUUGGACUUUGGAGCGUGCUGGCGAAGGUCGGCUCCUCUUUAAAUGCAUCAGCGGAGAAAAACAAACCUUUUUUCCCCCUUCAGCGUGAUAACUGUGUUGCGCUGUGGUCGCGAAAGGGUCCGCUCAUAAUCGUCCUCGGACAAACACCGAAUCUGUUUUGACCUCAGAUCAGGUAGGACUACCCGCUGAACUUAA
rnacentral:misc_RNA from 1 species